rnacentral:lncRNA from 1 species
GGAGCGCCGUGUCGCGGACUCGCUUGACCUUCUCAAGGUGGCGGCAUAAAGGGCGGAUAAAUCGAGGUGCCCCGUAAGUCUGCCACCUUGUGGACAGAGAGCGGUACUGCAGCCCCCCGAGCCACUGCCCUGCCCGUCGCCGCCGGGUGCCGGGGGGCGGGCAAGGACGGCUGCCGAGCGAUGGAAGGGCGAGGGGCGGGAGCGAGCGCCGGGUGGGGCGUUGUCCUUAAAUAGAGGGGAGGGGAGAAAGGGAUUCGGGAGCGCGAAGGGACGCGGUCGGUGAGAAAAAUGGCGCGGAGGGGCGGCCCGGCGGGGCCGGUUUCGGCGGGCGGCGGAGGCGCGUUCGCAGCGCUCCGCGGGCCGGGGGCAGCGGGCAGGGCCGGGCGAGCGGAGUCGGAACAGGGCUGCACCCCCCGAGCCCCGGGCGCUCCCCUCUCCAGGCGGUGCAAGCGACGGCGUGCCGGAAAAUCCCGGCGGGGCAGCGCCGGGCGGUGUGCAGGCGGCGCAGGAGGCGGAGCGGGCUCCGGGCGCUCCCCGCCCUUUCGGCCGCCGCCUUUGGAAGGUCGGGCCAGGCGCCCGUCCCGUCCCUCCGGCUCCAUCUCUGGGAACUUCUCUCUGCCUUCACAGCUCCGUGCCGGAGAGUGGCAGAAAGGUCCCUGCUGCUUGCCCUGUCCUCGGUGGGCAGAGAGCUCUGACCUCCGCCGGAUGGGCUGCCAAUUCUGAAGCGCUCACCAGAGAUCUGCCUGGGAGGAGAAGCAGAGCCAAGCACUGAGAACUGACAAGUGAGCUCCGGUGAGGACUGCCGCUCCCCCUGCCUUGGUGUGGGACCUCCUGAGCUCCCCUUCCUGUGCUGGGAGUGUUUCUCCUCUCAUCCAGCCAAGCCAGAGACCUCCUAGGGAACAAGCAGGGAAGGUUUAAGCACCGAGAUCUCCCAAGUAAGAAGUGACGUGACAAAAGGAAAUGGCCUCAAGUUGCAGCAGGGAAGGCUUAGGUUGGAUUUGAGGAGAAAUUUCUUCACUGGAAGGGUGGUCAGGCCUAGGAGCAGGCUGCCCAGGGAAGCCCCCAUCCCUGGAGACAUUUCAAGGGUGUCCAGAUGUGGUGUUUAGGGACCUGGUUUGGGAGGGGCUUGGCAGUGCUGGGGCAACAGCUGGGCUCAGUGACCUUAGAAGGCUUUGCCAACCUAAAGGAUCCUAUGGUUCUGAACAGCCUUGACCCCUCUGGCUCAAAGACAGCACCUGGAUACGGAGGGAGGGAGGGAAAUCCUCUCUUCACAUGUGCCAAUUAAUCUGUGAAACUCAUCCCGGCAGGACAGCGUGAAGACUGAAAGUGUAAGAAGAUGUGGGGUGCAAUGGAGAAUGUGGCAGGAGCACCAACACACAAGUGCACGAGUUUUGCUUUUUGCUUGGAUUGAAACUCAGAAGUUGUAAGGAAUUUGGGAAUGAGAUGGGAUGUUUCAGAAGAAGAGGAAGGAGGAGAAGAAGCAGAAAAAAGUAUUGUUACAGUCCUGGCAAAAUCUUUUUGUUCUAGCUAAUAAAAGAAGUUUUAAUGAAAAGGCA